rnacentral:rRNA from 1 species
GAUGAACGCUGGCGGCGUGCCUAAUACAUGCAAGUCGAGCGAACGGACGAGAAGCUUGCUUCUCUGAUGUUAGCGGCGGACGGGUGAGUAACACGUGGAUAACCUACCUAUAAGACUGGGAUAACUUCGGGAAACCGGAGCUAAUACCGGAUAAUAUUUUGAACCGCAUGGUUCAAAAGUGAAAGACGGUCUUUCUGUCACUUAUAGAUGGAUCCGCGCUGCAUUAGCUAGUUGGUAAGGUAACGGCUUACCAAGGCAACGAUGCAUAGCCGACCUGAGAGGGUGAUCGGCCACACUGGAACUGAGACACGGUCCAGACUCCUACGGGAGGCAGCAGUAGGGAAUCUUACGCAAUGGGCGAAAGCCUGACGGAGCAACGCCGCGUGAGUGAUGAAGGUCUUCGGAUCGUAAAACUCUGUUAUUAGGGAAGAACAUAUGUGUAAGUAACUGUGCACAUCUUGACGGUACCUAAUCAGAAAGCCACGGCUAACUACGUG